GCGCAAGCAAAGACGUCCUUCGAGGGAACCUUUUCUCCUCCUGGCGGACAAGAGUGGAACGACAGGGCUUGAGGAGAAGUUUUGCCAGAAAAGGAAAUUGAAACUCAGAGAAGGUGACUUACCCAGAGUACCACAGCUAAUUAGUGAGACGGCUGGAGCCCAGGUCUGUGUGCUCCAGAGAUUCUGACUGCAGCCCUCACCUGUUGGCUCUGGACUUGGAGAAAGGAGAGCUGCUUCUCUGCAGCUGAAGAGGCUCUGCAAGAAGCCCAGAACAGGCAGGGCGCUAUAGCUCACGCAGUAGAGAUGGGGUUUCACCAUGAUAGCCAGGAUGGUC
rnacentral:lncRNA from 1 species